ACGUAAAUCAAACAGUUUCUGACGGAAGCAAAGAAAAAAACAAAGAAGAGUGAUGGCUGAUUGGGGGCCGGUUUUUGUAGCUGUGAUUCUGUUUGUUUUGCUAACUCCAGGUCUGCUGUUUCAGCUUCCUGGCAACCGCAGGUGCUUGGAGUUCGGCAACUUUCACACCAGUGCUGCUGCUAUCAUCGUUCAUUCAGUUCUCUACUUCGGUCUCAUUUGCGUCUUCUUGCUUGCCAUCAAGGUUCAUCUCUAUAUUGGUUCCUAAUUCUUCCCCGAUGCAAACACUCACCCCUCCAGGAUCACCUCUACAUUGUUUUCCAUGUGUGUGAGCCAAAUAUCGAUCUUGGUGUAACAUAUAGGCAUUUCAAACCGUGGCAGUUACAUACGAUCAAAAGACUAGAAAACAAUGGAAGAAAUGAACUGAAACAAUCUCAAAAGUAG